UGUGGAAAAAAGACGCCUGCACUUACACUGAGUGCAUGUAAUUCUGUUAUCUGGGUCUGCUCUAUCUAACUGAAAUUACGGAGUUGCAUCAUUUUGUUCGGAUGCACUGUGAGAGAUCCAGGAAUACCUCCGAGACCUCUCCGUGAUGAAGGACCGCAUAAAUACAUCUGAUCCAACCUGAGGAGAAACAUCAUCCUCAGCUUGAAUUAUUCCUGAAUGGAGCCUGCGGGCGUUACCUGGCGUGACAAGGUGUUUCUUUGAAGACUUGCAGCACUUAAUACAACAAAGCAGAGAGACGUGGAGAGAUCCACCUGUGCAUGCUCAUCGUAAUGUCAUCACUGCCUGCUGGAUGGAUGUUUUAAGUACAAAGUGAUAAGAGCGGUGUCAGCGCGCACAUGGGGGAACAAGGCAAUUAGAAGCAAGGCUGUGAAUGUGCCAGCAUGUUGGAAACAAUGUCCUGUGGGCUUUGUGCAUCUUAACGAGACAAGAGGGAAUCACUCUGUUUGUUCAAACAUACAGAGGCUCACUGACACUGUGUUGAACAUGUGAGAUUAAACAAAGGAAGACAACAUUUCUGUGACCAAAGAAAGUCAUAAUUGGAUUUUUUUUUAAUAAUAAUAAUAACUGUCUGAACAACUCAUUAAAAAACAACAUACAAAAAUAUAAAAGCAGCUCAAAGUAGAACUACAAGUCCAGCCUUUAACAUACAAAAGCAAGCUCUCUGGAAAGCAGUUAUCUACUUAAUGUGGUCACAGUUUAGCUGUUUAGUGCAUUAGCCUACAACAUUGACAUGUGCAUUUUUUUGUUUUUAAACAGAGAG